rnacentral:rRNA from 1 species
AUUGAACGCUGGCGGAAUGCUUUACACAUGCAAGUCGAACGGCAGCACGGGAGCUUGCUCCUGGUGGCGAGUGGCGAACGGGUGAGUAACAUAUCGGAACGUACCCCGUCGUGGGGGGAUAACUCUCCGAAAGGAGUGCUAAUACCGCAUACGACCUGAGGGUGAAAGCGGGGGACCUGCAAGGGCCUCGCGCGAUGGGAGCGGCCGAUAUCGGAUUAGCUAGUUGGUGAGGUAAAGGCUCACCAAGGCGACGAUCCGUAGCGGGUCUGAGAGGACGACCCGCCACACUGGAACUGAGACACGGUCCAGACUCCUACGGGAGGCAGCAGUGGGGAAUUUUGGACAAUGGGGAAACCCUGAUCCAGCCAUUCCGCGUGAGUGAAGAAGGCCU